GUGGGGAAUUUUGGACAAUGGGGGCAACCCUGAUCCAGCCAUUCCGCGUGAGUGAAGAAGGCCUUCGGGUUGUAAAGCUCUUUCGUCAGGAACGAAACGGCGGGCUCUAACAUAGCCUGUUAAUGACGGUACCUGAAGAAGAAGCACCGGCUAACUACGUGCCAGCAGCCGCGGUAAUACGUAGGGUGCGAGCGUUAAUCGGAAUUACUGGGCGUAAAGCGUGCGCAGGCGGAUUGUUAAGCAAGACGUGAAAUCCCCGGGCUUAACCUGGGAAUGGCGUUUUGAACUGGCAGUCUAGAGUGCGUCAGAGGGGGGUGGAAUUCCACGUGUAGCAGUGAAAUGCGUAGAGAUGUGGAGGAACACCGAUGGCGAAGGCAGCCCCCUGGGCCAACACUGACACUGAGGCACGAAAGCGUGGGGAGCAAACAGGAUUAGAUACCCUUGUAGUCC
rnacentral:rRNA from 1 species